GGGAAUGUGGCUCAGUUGUAGAGUGCUUGCCUAGCAUGUAUGAAGCCCUAGGUUUAAUUCCUCAGUUCCA
rfam:Dipodomys ordii contig_73621, whole genome shotgun sequence.